GACGAACGCUGGCGGCGUGCUUAACACAUGCAAGUCGAACGGAAAGGCCCUGCUUUUGUGGGGUGCUCGAGUGGCGAACGGGUGAGUAACACGUGAGUAACCUGCGCUUGACUUUGGGAUAACUUAAGGAAACUGGGGCUAAUACCGGAUAGGAGCUCCUGCUGCAUGGUGGGGGUUGGAAAGUUUCGGCGGUUGGGGAUGGACUCGCGGCUUAUCAGCUUGUUGGUGGGGUAGUGGCUUACCAAGGCUUUGACGGGUAGCCGGCCUGAGAGGGUGACCGGCCCCAUUGGGACUGAGAUACGGCCCAGACUCCUACGGGAGGCAGCAGUGGGGAAUAUUGCACAAUGGGCGGAAGCCUGAUGCAGCCACGCCGCGUGCGGGAUGACGGCCUUCGGUUUGUAAACCGCUUUCGCCUGUGACGAAGCGUGAGUGACGGUAAUGGGUAAAGAAGCACCGGCUAACUACGUG
rnacentral:rRNA from 1 species